GACGAACGCUGGCGGCGUGCUUAACACAUGCAAGUCGAACGGUAAGGCCCUUCGGGGGACACGAGUGGCGAACGGGUGAGUAACACGUGGGUGAUCUGCCCUGCACUUUGGGAUAAGCCUGGGAAACUGGGUCUAAUACCGGAUAGGACCACGGCCUGCAGGGGUUGUGGUGGAAAGCUUUUGCGGUGUGGGAUGGGCCCGCGGCCUGUCAGCUUGUGGGUGGGGUGAUGGCGUACCAAGGCGACGACGGGUAGCCGGCCUGAGAGGGUGUCCGGCCACACUGGGACUGAGAUACGGCCCAGACUCCUACGGGAGGCAGCAGGGGGGAAUAUUGCACAAUGGGCGCAAGCCUGAUGCAGCGACGCCGCGUGGGGGAUGACGGCCUUCGGGUUGUAAACCUCUUUCACCAGGGACGAAGCGCAAGUGACGGUACCUGGAGAAGAAGCACCGGCCAACUACGUGCCAGCAGCCGCCGUAACAC
rnacentral:rRNA from 1 species